CCCUCCAUAUGGCCAUGUGAUUGCUGCUGCUGCUGCUGCUGCUUCACGUGAUCCAGCUUUCUGGCACAAAGGCUCAGAGCUCGUACAGAUGAUUGUUAAACAUCAUGAGACUCUGCAAGUGAAUCUCUUGAAGAAAAACUUGAAAGCCUGGAUGCUGAAGAUCUCAUGUCUCAUCUGUCACGACCAGAAACCUACCUAGAUGAGGAGAAAAGAUCAAGGAAGUAAAACUGACCAAACUACGGCACUGACAAGGUUAAGCAUUGUGUUGCUCUAGGGGAAGGAAGGUGUUAAGAGAUGCUGCAGAGCCUCAGGAAGGUA